rnacentral:rRNA from 1 species
CGCGUAUGCAACCUACCUAUAACUGGAGGAUAGCCCAGAGAAAUUUGGAUUAAUACUCCAUAGUACUAAUGAUUCGCAUGAUGAAUUAGUUAAAGAAUUUUGGUUAUAGAUGGACAUGCGUUAGAUUAGCUAGUUGGUAAGGUAAUGGCUUACCAAGGCUACGAUCUAUAGCGGGUCUGAGAGGAUGAUCCGCCACACUGGAACUGAGACACGGUCCAGACUCCUACGGGAGGCAGCAGUAGGGAAUAUUGGGCAAUGGAGGCAACUCUGACCCAGCCAUGCCGCGUGAGGGAAGACGGC